rnacentral:ncRNA from 3 species
AAAUAAACCUGAUUGGACGAAAAGCCCCAAUUCUUCAUUGGGCUUGUAGGAAAAGCAGGACUUUCG